rnacentral:rRNA from 1 species
UACACUCCUGCGGGAGGCAGCAGUGGGGAAUAUUGGACAAUGGGCGCAAGCCUGAUCCAGCCAUGCCGCGUGAGUGAUGAAGGCCCUAGGGUUGUAAAGCUCUUUCACCGGUGAAGAUAAUGACGGUAACCGGAGAAGAAGCCCCGGCUAACUUCGUGCCAGCAGCCGCGGUAAUACGAAGGGGGCUAGCGUUGUUCGGAUUUACUGGGCGUAAAGCGCACGUAGGCGGACUAUUAAGUCAGGGGUGAAAUCCCGGGGCUCAACCCCGGAACUGCCUUUGAUACUGGUAGUCUUGAGUUCGAGAGAGGUGAGUGGAAUUCCGAGUGUAGAGGUGAAAUUCGUAGAUAUUCGGAGGAACACCAGUGGCGAAGGCGGCUCACUGGCUCGAUACUGACGCUGAGGUGCGAAAGCGUGGGGAGCAAACAGGAUUAGAUACCCUUGUAGUCCCAUGA